rnacentral:rRNA from 1 species
UACGUAGGGGGCUAGCGUUGUCCGGAAUCAUUGGGCGUAAAGCGCGUGUAGGCGGUCCGGUAAGUCCGCUGUGAAAGUCGGGGGGCUCAACCCUCGGAUGCCGGUGGAUACUGUCGGGCUUGAGUACGGAAGAGGCGAGUGGAAUUCCUGGUGUAGCGGUGAAAUGCGCAGAUAUCAGGAGGAACACCAAUUGCGAAGGCAGCUCGCUGGACGUUACUGACGCUGAGGAGCGAAAGCCAGGGGAGCAAACGGG